ensembl:rRNA 5S_rRNA 5S ribosomal RNA
GUCUACGGCCACGCCAGCCCGAACAUACCCAAUCUCUGAUCUCGUCUGAUCUCGGAAGCUAAACAGGGUCGGGCCUGGAUAGUACUUGAAUGAGAGACCACCUAAAAGACCAGGUGCUAUGGGCG